CACCAAUCAAGCACCGCUUGGUAUUGGACGGCAAGGCCCCCUGCCCUACGAGGCGCGGGCCCGUCCCAAAGGCAUCGGCGAGGACAGCGACCCCCGGCGUGUUAGAAUGCCCUUCACCGGGAUACGCCGGGAGCACCGCUGGACUCUGCCGCGAAGUGACGGGGCCCUCCGGGACCCCCGACCUACACAUCAAA
rnacentral:misc_RNA from 1 species